UACGUAGGGUGCAAGCGUUGUCCGGAAUUAUUGGGCGUAAAGAGCUCGUAGGCGGUUUGUCGCGUCUGCUGUGAAAUCUGGAGGCUCAACCUCCAGCCUGCAGUGGGUACGGGCAGACUAGAGUGCGGUAGGGGAGAUUGGAACUCCUGGUGUAGCGGUGGAAUGCGCAGAUAUCAGGAAGAACACCCGUGGCGAAGGCGGCACUCUGGGACGGUACUGACGCUGAGACGCGAAAGCGUGGGGAGCGAACAGG
rnacentral:rRNA from 1 species